GCUGGGUGUGGUGGUGUGCACCUGUAGUCUUAGCUACUUGGGAGGCAGAGGUGGGAGAAUCGCUUGAGCCCAGGAGGUCAAGGCUGCAGUGGGUCGAACUAGUAUCACUGCACUCCAGCCUGAGUGACAGAGUGAGACCCUGUCUCAA
rnacentral:SRP_RNA from 2 species